UACGUAGGGUGCAAGCGUUAAUCGGAAUUACUGGGCGUAAAGCGUGCGCAGGCGGCUUGCAAGACAGAUGUGAAAUCCCCGGGCUUAACCUGGGAACUGCAUUUGUGACUGCAUGGCUCGAGUACGGUAGAGGGGGAUGGAAUUCCGCGUGUAGCAGUGAAAUGCGUAGAUAUGCGGAGGAACACCGAUGGCGAAGGCAGUCCCCUGGACCUGUACUGACGCUCAUGCACGAAAGCGUGGGGAGCAAACAGGAUUACGAA
rnacentral:rRNA from 1 species